GAUACAUCCAGGCGACAAAGGCCAGGGCUCCUGUUACUAUAAGAACUCCUGCAAGAGUGAAUGUGAAUUGUGGCGCUCCCAGCUAUUCUGCUCCUGUUUCCAUCAGCCGCUUCCCUGAGGGGCUCAAGAGGCUGUGAUAAAAGCCAAAGUACCAAGGCAAAGAACAAAUGUCACAAGCUGCUGCUGGAAAGAACUCCUUCUGCUGGGAUGAAGAAAUGCUGUUGGGUUGAUGCUCACAGGAACCACAAGCAGACAGAAAGCCUUUAAAAAGGAGCAAGCCCUCUCUUCCUCCUCCAACAUUGCAAUCUCCGUCCAGUACCACCUUUGGCAGAAUGUAACGGAGAGCCAGCUGGCAAAGCGGAAAUGGGGUGUGCAGAGUCCCAGUGCCAGCAUCUCAAAGCCAAAUAAAGAAAAGGGCAUUUGGAAUAUAGAGACAAAAAGUUAAUAACUGGUAUAACAAUGAUGCCUCCUAGCUUUUUCAAACGCUCAUGGGGAAAAAUCAAUUUUUAUUUUCCUGAAGCAAAAUAAUCUUUCAAAUUUGUUCAAAAAAAAAUAGUUCUAGGAAAGGAAGGAUUGUUAAUCAAAUUCUUAAGAACUACUGAUUCAGUCUUUAUGGUUUCAGGGUUUUUUAUUUCUGAUUUUCAGGAAGAUGUGUAUAUUUAAUAAGCCCAGUUUUGCCCCCAAACAUAUACUCCCUCAAAAAAAAAUUCUUUCAUCAAUAAAAAGAUCCUGAAAUUUCA
rnacentral:lncRNA from 1 species